CAUGCAAGUCGAGCGGUAGCACAGAGAGCUUGCUCUCGGGUGACGAGCGGCGGACGGGUGAGUAAUGUCUGGGAAACUGCCUGAUGGAGGGGGAUAACUACUGGAAACGGUAGCUAAUACCGCAUAACGUCGCAAGACCAAAGUGGGGGACCUUCGGGCCUCAUGCCAUCAGAUGUGCCCAGAUGGGAUUAGCUAGUAGGUGGGGUAA
rnacentral:rRNA from 1 species